GGCUUCUGGGGAACAGGAGGGCUAUAGAAACAGCAGGAGCAGCAGAGGUGCUGGAGAGCAAGAGAAGAGUGCUCAGAGCUAAAGGAAGUAGAAGGCCAAUACCUGGCUGCCACAGAACUUUGUUCCAGUACCUGCUGUCACUUGGAAGGAAACUGGCUGGAGAUUCUUCCUGUGUUGGGUACACAGAGCUAUCUUCUUUGGGAGAUCUGGAACACAGGCAAGCGAUACCGUGGAAUUCGUCAGGCGGCACCUCAAAGCCCAAAGUGUGUGUGGGUAGUGUCUCAUCCAUUUCAAUGGGAAUCUUGCCUGCAGGAGAAGCCAACCCAUGCAAAUGCUGAUAGAUCAUUUGAAUAGACCAGAAAUCUAAGGGGACUCAGGAGCGGCAAGCAGACACCUUAAAGAUGUCUCACUGCACAGUACGUACUUUGGGAUCCAACCCAGAGUAAAUAAAUGCUGGCCUAACCAGGGACAAGAGUAGAAAGACUGUGAUUUAAGAAAAAGGGACAGAAUAGGGGCAAAACUGUAGUUUCAUCUGACAAAGAAAAUCUCUUCACCAGACCCUAAUCCUAAAGUCUGGAAGAAUUGAAAUAUGUCACCAUCCUGGUGUUUGUGGACCAAAAUUAAUCCUAUUUACUACAUUAGAUCUUUAUCUAAGCCUCUCUGUACAGAGGAUAAGAGACUUGACCUUAGAGAAGGAUUUCCAAGAUGCCUUCAGCUGCUCUAUCAGCGCUUGUUGUUUGAGCACGGAAAAAAGAAAUCCCCCAGUUUUACAAAUCAAACACUUCUGGGCAUAAGCUGUUCCUGAGGGCUAUCUGUAGGCAAGCUGCUGAAGAAUUAGGGCAAUAAAUCACUGUGCUGCUUUUCCUUACUCCCUCAGUUAGAACCACGCUUUCAGUGCUCAGAAGGGAUUUCCAGAUUACUCUCUACUAGACAACCCUUCUUUACAUUUUCAGUACUGUCUAGCUUACCUCUGCUUGCUUUGAGGCCUGAUCUGACUAAAGGACUGGGAAGAGUAGGUCCUCAGUGAAUGAAAUCAGGGAGUUGUGGCUGAAGUCUGGCCACUCCCAUCUUACACAACAGCUCCAUCUCUGGCUUUGGUGGGCUACUUGUGGGUAGGAAGCCACAGAAACUGGUUGGUGGUGCAGAGAAA